rnacentral:sRNA from 1 species
UCAGCUUGUAGAUUUAAACAUAGUUCUUUUCUUAUCUUUGACGUUUCUUGAGUAGUGAGAACUAAUGAUCUGACUCUAUAGCAAAAUGAAGAUGUGUGGCUAUUUCUUGAUGCUGCUACUCGUUGGUGCUACAGAUGCCCUUACUUCCUGUCUGAAUUGUACAUAUGAUGAUGUCGAAUGCAAAGCUGAUUGCUUAAACACUCUAAAGGACUACUGCAUUUGCAAGGAAGAUACUUACGUGUGUUACAACUACUGCAUCAAUCAAAUCAAACAGCUCAUCUGUUGUCCCGGAAAAUAAGAACAGACGUGAACUGUCAGUACGAGCUCCAUUGUUUGAGUAGCAAACAGUCCAAGACAAAUAAACUAAAUGUUAGGAUUUGUUUAUA